AGCCGUGCGCCGGUCCCAGGCGUCCUCGCAAGGUCGCUUUGCAAAACGGGAGCGCGCUUAAGUGACCAGCCCUGAGUUUGUGGGCGCGCCGGGUCCUUCUGCUUUGGGACCAGCGGCGACAUGUCGGGGUACACGCCAGAUGAGAAACUGCGGCUGCAGCAGCUGCGAGAGCUGAGAAGGCGAUGGCUGAAGGACCAGGAGCUGAGCCCUCGGGAGCCGGUGCUGCCCCCUCAGAGGAUGUGGCCUAUGGAGAAAUUCUGGAAUAAAUUCUUGCAAAAUCCGAGCCCUUGGAGGAACAUGGUGAAUGUAUAAGGUAUACCGAAGCAGUAUUUUUGCUUUUACUCAUAUGCUUAUACCUGUCUGGAUUAUUCAUUAUUAUAUCAAGUAUCAUGUGAAUACAAAACCAUAUGCCAUCGUUGAAAGGAAGCCCAGAGUAUUUCCAGGUGAUACAAUUCUGGAGACUGGAGAAGUAAUUCCACCAAUGAAGGAAUUUCCUGAUCAACAUCAUUGAAGAUUACAUAAAAAUUUCAAAGGCUUAUGAGCCCAAGUUUGUUCCUGCAUUACUGUAUUUACUGAAUGCAUUUUCUGGAAAAGUAACUUUAAUAAAGUUUACUCUCAGAAAUGUGUCACUUUUCUUCCCAAACAUUGUACAAUUUGAGGCUCUUUGAAUAACUUAACAAUAAAUAAAAACUGAAUAUGCUAAACAAAU